CCUACGGGUGGCUGCAGUGGGGAAUAUUGGACAAUGGGCGAAAGCCUGAUCCAGCCAUGCCGCGUGUGUGAAGAAGGCCUUCGGGUUGUAAAGCACUUUCAGUGGGGAAGAAAGCCUUGGGGCUAAUACCCUCGAGGAAGGACAUCACCCACAGAAGAAGCACCGGCUAACUCCGUGCCAGCAGCCGCGGUAAUACGGAGGGUGCGAGCGUUAAUCGGAAUUACUGGGCGUAAAGCGCGCGUAGGCGGUCUGAUAAGCCGGUUGUGAAAGCCCCGGGCUCAACCUGGGAACGGCAUCCGGAACUGUCAGGCUAGAGUGCAGGAGAGGAAGGUAGAAUUCGCGGUGUAGCGGUGAAAUGCGUAGAGAUCGGGAGGAAUACCAGUGGCGAAGGCGGUCUUCUGGACUGACACUGACGCUGAGGUGCGAAAGCGUGGGUAGCAAACAGGAUUAGAUACCCCAGUAGUC
rnacentral:rRNA from 1 species